AUUCAUCUGAAUCCCGUAAUUUAUCCAUGAAGCGACGUCGUCAGAAGGCAACAGAGAGGUCCUCAGUUCAAAAUUCUAAUUCCUCUGAUCUACGCCCCUGUUCUUCCUCUCAUUCGUAUUUCACUCCGGCAUAAACCGGUUUUGAGGGAUCGAUUGUUCACCGUAGCCUUGGCAGGAGCUUUCGCGCAUGGAUUGUACUUGGUAACUGAUAUGAGCAAGUGACUUGGUGGAACAAGGAUGGAACUGUUUGGAUGAAGGAUUGCCUAGAUGCCUGUAUUUCACUUCAUUUCUUGGGAAUUCUUCAUGACAUUUUUGCCAAAUCGGAACUUCAAGUGUGUCUGGACAUCUAUCCAUAUUUUCCUUAUUUUCUAAUUUGUGUAAUCCAAGGAAGAUAAAUAAUAGGCACAACUAAUGUACCAACAUUUGUGAGAGAUUUAGAAAUUCACAGUAAUAAUAGGCUGGCCGUUAAUGGCACAUCGAUAACUGGAGCUGCCUUUUUGAGCAGUAUGGUGGAAUGAUAACUUAGUUUCAGCAUUUUAUGUGAUUGAAAAUGCAUUUUUGAGCUGA